rnacentral:rRNA from 1 species
AGUUAUAUGCUUGUCUCAAAGAUUAAGCCAUGCAUGUCUAAGUACAUACUAAAAUAAAGUUAAACCGCAUAAGGCUCAUUAUAUCAGUUAUGGUUUUUUAGAUCGUAUUCACAGUUACUUGGAUAACUGUGGUAAUUCUAGAGCUAAUACAUGCACUUAAUGGGAUCCUAACAGAUCCUUGCUUUUAUUAGACAAAAACCAAUGGGGUAAACUUCGGUUUGCUCAAAUAAAAUGGUUGAACUCUGGAUAAUUUGUUGAUCGCAUGGUCUUCGUACCGGCGACGGAUCUUUCAAAUGUCUGCCCUAUCAACUAUUGAAGGUAGUGUCUUGGACUACCUUGGUUGCAACGGGUAACGGGGAAUCAGGGUUCGAUUCCGGAGAGGGAGCCUGAGAAACGGCUACCACAUCUAAGGAAGGCAGCAGGCGCGUAAAUUACCCACUCCCGGCACGGGGAGGUAGUGACGAAAAAUAACAAUACAAGACUCACAUCCGAGGCCUUGUAAUUGGAAUGAGUACACUUUAAAUCCUUUAACGAGGAUCAAUUGGAGGGCAAGUCUGGUGCCAGCAGCCGCGGUAAUUCCAGCUCCAAUAGCGUAUAUUAAAGUUGUUGCGGUUAAAACGUUCGUAGUUGAACUUGUGUUUCGCACAGGCAGUACCUACGACUAGGUCACUAGUACGGUACUUUGUCUUUCCAUAUUCAUUUUAUGUUUAUGGAAAAGGUGCGUGAACGUAUUAUCGGCGUGUUCAUUCCAUUACGGGAUGUUCACUUAAGCUCAUUUCAGUGCUCUUCAUCGAGUGUUGUUGUGGGCCGAUACAAAUUACUUUGAACAAAUUAGAGUGCUUAAAGCAGGCUUGUAAUGCCUGAAUAUUUUGUGCAUGGAAUAAUGUAAUAGGACAUCUGUUCUACUUUCAUUGGUUUUUUAGAUCAAGAUGUAAUGAUUAAUGGAGGCAAUUGGGGGCAUUAGUAUUACAACGCGAGAGGUGAAAUUCUUAGACCGUAGUAAGACUAACUAAAGCGAAAGCAUUUGCCAAAGGUGUUUUCAUUUAAUCAAGAACGAAAGUUAGAGGUUCGAAGGCGAUC